ensembl:snRNA U6 U6 spliceosomal RNA
GUGUUCACUUCUGUGGCAUAUAUACUAAAACAGGAACAAUACAGAGAAGAUCAGCAUGCCUCCUGCACUAGGAUGGCACUCAAAUUUGUGAAGCUUUCCAUGCUGUU